rnacentral:rRNA from 1 species
GCGGCGUGCUUAACACAUGCAAGUCGAACGGUGAACACGGAGCUUGCUCUGUGGGAUCAGUGGCGAACGGGUGAGUAACACGUGAGCAACCUGCCCCUGACUCUGGGAUAAGCGCUGGAAACGGCGUCUAAUACUGGAUAUGUGACGUGACCGCAUGGUCUGCGUUUGGAAAGAUUUUUCGGUUGGGGAGGGGCUCGCGGCCUAUCAGCUUGUUGGUGAGGUAAUGGCUCACCAAGGCGUCGACGGGUAGCCGGCCUGAGAGGGUGACCGGCCACACUGGGACUGAGACACGGCCCAGACUCCUACGGGAGGCAGCAGUGGGGAAUAUUGCACAAUGGGCGAAAGCCUGAUGCAGCAACGCCGCGUGAGGGAUGACGGCCUUCGGGUUGUAAACCUCUUUUAGCAGGGAAGAAGCGAAAGUGACGGUACCUGCAGAAAAAGCGCCGGCUAACUACGUGCCAGCAGCCGCGGUAAUACGUAGGGCGCAAGCGUUAUCCGGAAUUAUUGGGCGUAAAGAGCUCGUAGGCGGUUUGUCGCGUCUGCUGUGAAAUCCCGAGGCUCAACCUCGGGCCUGCAGUGGGUACGGGCAGACUAGAGUGCGGUAGGGGAGAUUGGAAUUCCUGGUGUAGCGGUGGAAUGCGCAGAUAUCAGGAGGAACACCGAUGGCGAAGGCAGAUCUCUGGGCCGUAACUGACGCUGAGGAGCGAAAGGGUGGGGAGCAAACAGGCUUAGAUACCCUGGUAGUCCACCCCGUAAACGUUGGGAACUAGUUGUGGGGUCCAUUCCACGGAUUCCGUGACGCAGCUAACGCAUUAAGUUCCCCGCCUGGGGAGUACGGCCGCAAGGCU